rnacentral:rRNA from 1 species
CGGGAGGCAGCAGUGGGGAAUUUUGGACAAUGGGCGAAAGCCUGAUCCAGCAAUGCCGCGUGUGUGAAGAAGGCCUUCGGGUUGUAAAGCACUUUUGUCCGGAAAGAAAUCCUUGGCUCUAAUACAGUCGGGGGAUGACGGUACCGGAAGAAUAAGCACCGGCUAACUACGUGCCAGCAGCCGCGGUAAUACGUAGGGUGCGAGCGUUAAUCGGAAUUACUGGGCGUAAAGCGUGCGCAGGCGGUUUGCUAAGACCGAUGUGAAAUCCCCGGGCUCAACCUGGGAACUGCAUUGGUGACUGGCAGGCUAGAGUAUGGCAGAGGGGGGUAGAAUUCCACGUGUAGCAGUGAAAUGCGUAGAGAUGUGGAGGAAUACCGAUGGCGAAGGCAGCCCCCUGGGCCAAUACUGACGCUCAUGCACGAAAGCGUGGGGAGCAAACAGGAUUAGAUACCCUGGUAGUCCACGCCCUAAACGAUGUCAACUAGUUGUUGGGGAUUCAUUUCCUUAGUAACGUAGCUAACGCGUGAAGUUGACCGCCUGGGGAGUACGGUCGCAAGAUUAAAACUCAAAGGAAUUGACGGGGACCCGCACAAGCGGUGGAUGAUGUGGAUUAAUUCGAUGCAACGCGAAAAACCUUACCUACCCUUGACAUGGUCGGAAUCCCGCUGAGAGGUGGGAGUGCUCGAAAGAGAACCGGCGCACAGGUGCUGCAUGGCUGUCGUCAGCUCGUGUCGUGAGAUGUUGGGUUAAGUCCCGCAACGAGCGCAACCCUUGUCCUUAGUUGCUACGCAAGAGCACUCUAAGGAGACUGCCGGUGACAAACCGGAGGAAGGUGGGGAUGACGUCAAGUCCUCAUGGCCCUUAUGGGUAGGGCUUCACACGUCAUACAAUGGUCGGAACAGAGGGUUGCCAACCCGCGAGGGGGAGCUAAUCCCAGAAAACCGAUCGUAGUCCGGAUUGCACUCUGCAACUCGAGUGCAUGAAGCUGGAAUCGCUAGUAAUCGCGGAUCAGCAUGCCGCGGUGAAUACGUUUCCGGGCCUUGUACACACCGC